UACGGGGGGGGCAAGCGUUGUUCGGAAUUACUGGGCGUAAAGGGCUCGUAGGCGGCCAACUAAGUCGGACGUGAAAUCCCCAGGCUCAACCUGGGAACUGCGUCCGAUACUGGAUGGCUUGAAUCCGGGAGAGGGAUGCAGAAUUCCAGGUGUAGCGGUGAAAUGCGUAGAUAUCAGGAGGAACACCUGUGGUGUAGACAGCUUACUGGACCAUUUCUGACGCUGAGACACGAAAGCGUGGGUAGCAAACAGG
rnacentral:rRNA from 1 species